rnacentral:rRNA from 1 species
CUAUACAUGCAUGUCGAGCGGAGUUCUUCGGAACUUAGCGGCGAAUGGGUGAGUAACACGUACUUAACGUACCUUUUAGAUUGGGACAACGAUGAGAAAUUAUCGCUAAUACCGGAUACUUAUAGGGAAGGCAUCUUCCUUAUAUAAAAGGAGCUCUCAAGCUCCACUAAAAGAUCGGGGUGCGGAACAUUAGCUAGUUGGUGAGGUAAUGGCUCACCAAGGCUAUGAUGUUUAACGGGGUUGAGAGACUGAUCCGUCACACUGGGACUGAGAUACGGCCCAGACUCCUACGGGAGGCAGCAGUAGGGAAUUUUCCACAAUGGACGAAAGUCUGAUGGAGCGACACAGCGUGCAGGAUGAAGGCCUUCGGGUUGUAAACUGCUGUUAUUUAGGAUGAAAAAAUAGUAGAGGAAAUGCUAUUAUCUUGACAGUACUAAAUCAGAAAGCAACGGCUAACUAUGUGCCAGCAGCCGCGGUAAUACAUAGGUUGCAAGCGUUAUCCGGAAUUAUUGGGCGUAAAGCGUCUGUAGGUUGUUUGUUAAGUCUGGCGUCAAAACUUGGGGCUCAACCCCAAAUCGCGUUGGAUACUGGCACGCUAGAAUUGUGUAGAGGUUAACGGAAUUCCUUGUGAAGCGGUGAAAUGCGUAGAUAUAAGGAAGAACAUCAACUUGGCGAAGGCAGUUAACUGGGCACAUAUUGACACUGAGAGACGAAAGCGUGGGGAGCAAACAGGAUUAGAUACCCUGGUAGUCCACGCCGUAAACGAUGAUGAUUAGCUGAUGGGAACCAUCGGCGCAGCUAACGCAUUAAAUCAUCCGCCUGAGUAGUAUGCUCGCAAGAGUGAAACUUAAAGGAAUUGACGGGGAUCCGCACAAGCGGUGGAGCAUGUGGUUUAAUUUGAAGAUACGCGUAGAACCUUACCCACUCUUGACAUCUUCUGCAAAGCUAUAGAGAUAUAGUGGAGGUUAACAGAAUGACAGAUGGUGCAUGGUUGUCGUCAGCUCGUGUCGUGAGAUGUUCGGUUAAGUCCUGCAACGAGCGCAACCCUUAUCCUUAAUUAAAUAUCUUAAGGAGACUGCCCGGGUAACUGGGAGGAAGGUGGGGACGACGUCAAAUCAUCAUGCCUCUUACGAGUGGGGCAACACACGUGCUACAAUGGAAGGUACAAAGAGAAGCAAUAUGGCGACAUGGAGCAAAUCUCAAAAAACCUUUCUCAGUUCGGAUUGUAGUCUGCAACUCGACUACAUGAAGUCGGAAUCGCUAGUAAUCGUAGAUCAGCUACGCUACGGUGAAUACGUUCUCGGGUCUUGUACACACCGCCCGUCACACCAUGGGAGCUGGUAAUGCCCGAAGUCGGUUUAGUCAACUACGGAGACAACUGCCUAAGG